rnacentral:lncRNA from 10 species
ACUUUAAGGGUGAGCUGUGCCUCCUGUUAGGAUUUCUACUAGGGAGGAAGUUCAGGUGUUAGUUGGCCAAAAGAAUGGCAAAUAUCCAUGACUAACAGGAAGAAGAAAGACUGACCAUUGUCACCCACUACUUCUCCUCUACAAUUACCAGAUGGACACAGUGAGAUCAGGAAAAGAAAUAAGAACUCAAUGAAUUGGAAAGAAGAAAGAAAACCCUCCUUUUUUCACAGAUGGUAUGACUAACCACAUAGAAAAUCUAAACAAAUCUAUAGAUAGCCUUAUGAAUUAAUAAAGUUUGAAGCUUUGCUGCAAACAAAUCAGCAUAUGAAAAUCAAUGUUUUGUCUACAUCCAGCAAUAGCACAUUGUAAAAUUUCAAUAUAUGUGCAUUUUAUAAUAGCAACAAAAACAAUUAAGUACUCAAGAAAAUAUUCCAUAAAUGUUGUUUAAAAACUUUGAAAUGUAACAUUACUUCAGGGCCCAACAGAUCUAUAAAAUGAGGAGAUAUUUAUUGAUCUUAUUUAAGCAGAAUAAAUACUGUAAAGAUAACAAUUCUCAAAUAAAUCAAUAAUUCAGUGUAAUUCCACUUAGAAUGCUUAAUACAAUUUUUAAACAAUGCAAACUCAUCAAACUGAGAUAAAACUCAAAAGAGAGUAAAGAACCAAAAGAUGAUAGAAAAACAAAAUUAAAUUGUUUGGUGAUUUCAUCUGAAGAGUUGUGUUUCUGCUCAUGCUUGUUAAGCAUGUAAUGAUAUGCCAUUAAGAAUAAAAGUUGCUAUAGGCUUUUGAUUAGCUAUUUCAGAUUAAGGAAAUUCCAUUCUAUUUCUAGUUUGCUGUUUUUUAAAUCAUAAAAGGGUGUUAAAUUUUAUCAAAAUGUUGGGCAUUUAUUGAGAUGAAUAUAAGCUUUUAAUUUUUCUCCUUUAAUAACAUGGUGAAUAAAUUACAUGUUAACCUUUCUUCCAUUCUUUUAACAAACUCAGUCUUAUUGUGAUUUCAAAAAUAAUUGAUCGAUCCAGCUUACUAAUUUUAUUAUAGGAUUGUUGCAUCUAGUUUGGGAUGUGAGAUUUGCCAACUUUUUUUUUCUUGUAUGUUAUUUACCUAUUUUGGGGGAACUUUCCUCCUUUUUGGUUCUUUGGAAUGGAGUUUAUCAAGUAGGAAUAAUUUGGUGGUUGAAAGAUUGGUAUCUUUUAAAUGUUCUGGACCGUAUUUAUUGAUGUUGUUUUGUGGGUAGAGUUUUAAGUGCUUCUUCAGACUCUAAUUCCUGGGCCCUGGAGAUACUGCCUCCUGUGCAGCCCUCUGAUGCCAUUCUAGGACCACCUCCACACUUUCAAACCUAAAAUAACCCCACUGUGCUGCCUGGAAAGCAGUCAGUAAUUAGGCAGUACUUCAACUCUCAUUCCUGAUUUUAAACAAUAUCUCAACCCUUGGGUAUGUAAUUGCACACUAUCCUUUCUAGUUGUACCAACUUUUAGAUCAUUUCUUCAUUUCAUUUGCGGAUUUAACUCCUGGCUCACUAUCAGUAUCUCCAACAUGACCCUCAUGUUAUUUUGGGGAGAUUUCAUUAUUUAAGUAGAUAAUCUUUCAAUACAAUGGCUGUUCGAUUCAACCGCUGCUUUCCAAUGAUCACGUCCCCCACCCUACUUAAGCCAUCCAUUUCCAUUGUCCUACACCAGUCCCUUUCACGACUAGUAACGGCAACAUGUACAUAAUCUUAUUUCAAGUCUCCCACUCUCCCAUAACUGUGUCCUGUGUUUUCAAUUUUUUAUAACAAUUCUAUCCAACUCUAAUACUUUUUAACUGUUCUUUAGAUCUCCUCCUUCAUUCUUUCUUUAAUCUAAAUUUCAGCCAAUCUUUAUAACUACAUUCUCAAUAUGGGGUUUGCAGAGGGGUUAAUUCUCAGACCGGCAACCCUCAACCAUCAGGGAAUGGGAUACCCUAGCUUGGGAUAAUUCUGAUGUCUGCUCUCCCUGGAUCUUCAGAGUCCCCAGAGGAUGUGAGAUAGCAUUAACACUUUUUUAAAAAAUUUAAAAAUUUUUAAAUAUUAAAUUAAAAAAAUUAGGCACCAAACAUGAAGUCAGCUUUAAAUACAUGACAUAUCUGGGGAGUACAAAGUCAAUUUAAUGAAUGCCCAUAAGGAAAGAACUUUUCUGCCUUUACCUUUCUUCCUUCCCUAUUUGUGCCUGAUGGAAUGUGAUUAAAUACCAUGUGCAUUUGAUAGAUGCAGCUUACUAAUAUUAUUAUAGGAUUGUUGCAGCUAGUUUGGGAUGUGAGAUUUGGCAACUUUUUUUUUCUUGUAUGUUAUUUACCUAUUUUGGGAGAACUUUCCUCCUUUUUGGUUCUUUGGAAUGGAGUUUAUCAAGUAAGAGUCAUUUGGUUGUUGCCAAAUACGAUGUGAUUGGGAAGAUAGGAGAGGGAUAUAAGCACAAGGCAGGGGAGGAGAGAAGGACCACAAUCCUUGUCCCUGGCCUACUGCUUGAUACAGGUCCAGUAACAUAGAAAAAGAUUUAACAUCACAAUGAGUUUGGAAUUUUUAUUUAUUUUAGGACUAGAUAUUUUAAAUAACUGAAUUGAGAUUUAAUUGUGAUUAAACCAUAGGAUUUCUUGUUGCCUAAGACUGAUCAAACAAGUUAUGGGAUUAUGGGAAUUUUUAUCAGGGAUCAAGGAAGAAACUUCCCCCACUAAACACAUUUUAAAGAGCUGUUUAGAGAAAAGAAGCAUUAUUUUACUCUAUACCCAGGAGUCUUGCUUGUUUAAUAUAUCUGUAACACAUAUAUUGUGCAUGUUUGCAAGAAUGUGGUUCAGGUUUCUUCCCCUGUGGAUUGAUACAAACUCUUCAACAAGAGUGACUAAAGGGAAAAAUACUCUUUCUCUGUUCUGGAUAAUAUUUUUAUCUAUUUUCUUUUGGUCUUCAUUGGCUGAUCCUCUGCCCUAAAUGGUAGAGCAUUAUUAAGGUCAAAGAAAUGGAAUAAUAUAGAGUUUGCUUUGUAGUUCUUUCCAUGUGGUCCAAUUGCCUAAUCAACUUUUCUGUCCUGCAUUUACUUUAGUUACUCCUACUAGGACCUGAGCACGGAGUUUUCAGAAGGGCCCUAGGCCCUGUCAGAGGGUUAAGAGGGACGUGCUCUCAAACUCCUUAUUUCUUCCUAGGAGUGUAUGUUUUUGGUGAGCAAAGCAACUGCUGAGCAGGAGAAUAGGAUGAUAAUGGUCCCCAGUAUAAUAAAGCGGAAGGGAUGUUGAAAAGAGGAAUAUGAUAGUGUGGUAUCACAUUGCAUCCUAACUGCUGAAUUGUUCAAUGGGCUUUUGCAAAGUUAAGUACCAUUCUGAAAGAUAGGAUCUGUACAGUUUUCUUAAACUGCCAUGAGUGAGCUAUGAGCCUAAGGUAUAGUCCUCAUCCCAUGGAAGAGGUGAACAAGGGCCUCAUUUUUAGUAGCAUAAAUUCCAAGAAUCUGCCAAGGCCGUAGGAAACAGUUAAAAGAGAAAGACAGGAAGUGGCAAGGAAAUUGAUACUAAUCAGAAAUUUCCGAGGCCUCUCAUAUGGAAUACGCUGACCCUCAAAGUUUCUUUUUGGCAAGAAGAGACCAUAGAGUUUCUAUACCUGAAUACUUAACCUAAGUAUGGGUGGGUUGAAGUAGAGUUGAAGAGAUGUGGACUCUUUGUGAGACCUGUAGCCAAAUACAGUUUUCAAACUUGAUUUGUCAGUGGCAGGUGUGGCCACACAAAUAAAAUCUGCUUUUAAGUUUAAUUAUAUCAGUACAAUCUCAAGUACCAUGUUUACAUAUUCAAGACUGAUAGUUGAUGGAUUUUUCCUAUAUUAACCAUUUAAGUAAGAUAAUUAUUUGCCAUUCUGUGACAUUUAAUUACAAUGCUAUGACUAAUUUAUAUAGUUGGAAGAAAAAAUUGCUUUAUAUGUCAUUUAAGAUUUGUAUGAACACAUUUAAACUGCAGAAAAGAUUGCUUAGAAAAAUGCAGAGCUGGCUCCCAAGAGCUCUUGAUUACCUUCUGUAUCAAGACCAUUUUUUUAAAAUUGGCUGUACUAUCACAGCAUAAUUUCAAGGUGACCACCUGUCAAAGAGCUUCUGCGGGAAAAAGGCAAAAUGUCUCCCUGUCUUAUUUGUACAUUUAUUUUUAUAAACAUUUCUAAUUUUCCAGAGGGUAUUAUAGGCUAAAAUUUAAUGGGAUGGUAAUAGUUAGCAAUGAGUAAAUAACAUGAAUUCUCAGUUGAUGUAAAUUUCAUGCCAGGUUUGAAUGAUGAAGGUAAAAGCUAGCAUGGAGACUAGAAACACAUUUAAUAGCAGAUGUUCAGUUGUGCAGGAGAGAUCUACAUAAAUAACAAAGUUUGCCCUACUUGUGUUGAGAGCAUUCAAUUUCUUUUUUUUCCCAGGAAGUGAAUUGUACUUUGGACUGAGCCGAGUCAUAAUUAAGCUGUACUAAGAAAACAUUCAAGUAACAAUGAUUUGCAAAUGAUCAAAUUAUUGUCAGCUUAGCAUGGGGCUUCACCAGCUGGAGUGAUUUCUCUAUUAUAACCAUAUGUCUGUUAAUAAAUUUGAUUCAAAUGUAUAACAAUUACAAAUAUUUUAGAGACUGGGCAGAGCAAUUAAAAUCAGGUAAGGUUGUUCUUGUGACUUGGUCUUAAAAUAAAUGAAGAGACUACAAUGAUGAAGCUAAAUGCUACUUGGUUAGAGACUGCAAGAUGCGAUAAAGCAGUUAGCAUGUCUAAAAUCGAAUUGUUUCAGAUGUAGUAUGUUGACCCAUCACACAGGAUGGCUUAAUAGAGUGUCACUUAAAACACUGAAAGCACCGUGCAGGCUUCAGAGGAAUUCCCCUGUUAUCUUCCUGAGUUUACCUCAUGAAUGUUUCAAUAAAAGUGGAGAAGAAUGAUCAUUAGCAAAGUGGAAUUACAGAGUAGGUCAUUUGGGGGCACAAUACUGUACCUGACUUUUAAAAAAGUAAUGAUCUUGGUAAAGGUACAAGUGAAAAAGAGACUUUUUGGGGAGUAUUUUUUCUUACGUCUUUGAAGGAGUAGAAGCUUCAUCUUCCAGGAAUUUUUAAUCUUCCUUUCUCCCUAAAUCUGCUCUUUGAGCUCCUUAAGAUACAUUAAUCUGCAAUGUCCCACUGUCUCCUAUCGCAUUUCCCAGUUUAAAUUAUCUGGAAAAGGCAACUGUACUUCUGUACCAUCUUUACAAAUUCAUGAUCUUACUAAAAAGUGUGUUACUGAAACUGCUGACCUCUCUCAUCCUCACAUCUUACAAAAACACAGUCCUGACAGCUGUAUUAGCAAAAUUGUAAAUCCAGUAAAGAAGUUAUUAAUAUGGAAAGGUCAGUACAUGUCAGAAAUGGUAAAGUGUGGAUAACUGAUAGAAAAUUACAAAUUGGGAACUGCUUUGAAGAAGGCAAAAGAGCCUUUAACUGGUUCAAAAUAUUUGAAAUUUUGAUAAUUUGUUUAAUGACUUGAAUCAUCAUAAUCUUUUGGAAAUUGAUUGGAUCAUGUAUAUUUUUCUUUGAGGGCAAAUUUCUUCUACAUCUUUAUUUCUUUUUUCUCACACACUGAAUUGUUCCUUUUUUAGCUAUAUAUUUUAUGGUAUAACUUUUAAUUCUUCCUUGUAGAAAAACAACAUGGUUUCUGGAAGACUCAGUUAUUCUUCCCAGAAAUUUUAGAUUUUUUGAGACACAAACAAACAUAUGAAGAAACAGUUUCUGAAUCUUAAAAACCACAUUGAGUUCCAGUUCUAAAAUCAGCGGUAAAUAUAGGCAUAUAAAACAAUGUAAACUCUACUUGUCAUCAGAACAGUAGCCUAUGGACAUAGUAAGUGUUUAAUAUUAUUUUUGAAUCAAUUAUUUUUAUUUUUAGAAACAAAAAGGCAAAGAUGAGACUGUAUUUCCUGAGUGAUAUAAACUAACAAUUGUCUAUUCAAAGAAUAUAGCUGUUUGUCUGCUCUUAUGUAAUAUUCUUAAUUAUCUGAAAGAGGAAUGGCCUAGUGAGAACUCCACCUUUUAGAUGUCCAUGACCUCUUCCAAGUAGUCAGUAACUUGCUAUGGGAGAUGAGCCUGGGAAUUCUGUAAGGUAAUUAGAAUGUUACUUUUAAAUCUGGAUCAUUGCAUUUUAUGUUAAUUUUCUCACUUGUUCUUUACAAUAACUUUUUGAAAUUUGAUUAUGUAGGCAGGACAGUUACGGUUGCUUUUUACAGAUAAACAAACUGAGGCUGUGAGAAGUAAAAGGAUUUCCCCAAGUUCAUUCAACCAGCAGUGAAACAGUUUGUAUUGAAACAAAGGAUGUUUGACUCCUACUCCUAGGCUGCCUGAUGCAGUAAAGGCAUCAGAAGCCAAAUGAAUGUAUAAGUUCACAAAGGAUUAGAUACAUUUUGAUGUCAGAUUCAUAACAGAUUGUUAAAGGUCAUCAGGUGUUCUUAAUAUACACUUCCUGCUUCUUCAGGGUAAUGUCAUGGUGGGUAACCAUGCAAUCCCCUAAAAAACCCUUUGCUGUCACUGUCAGAGACAGAUUUCUGGACUCUAGGCCCAUUGGCCUGUCCCAGUGAGUCAUUUCUCAAGUUCUUAUCUUUUGGAUACAGAAGCAUAUUACUUGAGAGUGUGAAGGGGAAGUUGGCUUUAAUCUUAAUUGCCUGCAUAACAGUAUUUUUAAAAUGAUCUCACUCUGUAAAAUAUAAAACGCUACCACUACCAUAGAAGUCAGGAAUGUUAGAGCAGAGCAAAGAUUAUUAGAAAAGUCAAGCUUGCAAUAUACAUUCCAUCCCUCUGAAUUUGCCAUUAAAACACGGUUGCAGUUCCAAGCAGACCAUAGCCAGACUGCAGAAUGCACAGUCUGUGUAACUACUCUAUCCCUACUCAAUUUGCAUGCCAGGACAGAACAGGUAUUUAUCUAAAUGUUAUGUAAUUUUUUUUGUUUCCUUGAUGUUACUGUGCUCCUCUAACGUCUUUGUUUAAAUCGCUUGUUUAUGAAAAUAGCGCAAUAUAGGUUAUGGGUAUGAUGCAUGUGGCUUCUCAUAUGAUAGAUAUUUUGUUAAUCAACAUUUUAAUUUUACUAUGUUCAUUCCAUGAUUAAGCCAGUUAUUUGAUCUUAUUAGGGAUUUACCUGAUUUGACUAAAAGAGCUACGGAGCCAAAACCAUGGGUUCAAGUACUGAAGCAGCUGUUUUUGUUGGCCAAUAUAAGAUAAAUACAACCUGGCUUAGAUAGCACUUAUACUCUGAUGCGUCCUAAAUCUAAACAGAUAAUAUAUUAUGCUUUCAGUUGCCUGUUUUCGCAGUAACUCAUGAUUUCACAUAAUAAAAGAAACUAUGUACAAAAAAACAUUUAAUUCCCAGACUUUUACAGAAGUGGCCUAGGAGAGGGGGUGAGGAUACCCGAUUCUGUGUUGGUUUCACAUGUAGACAGUUAAUCUGACUCAGAAUGCUACUGCUUUCCACGGUAAAGGGAAAGCUCAUGACUAAAGUGUGCAGCAGAAAUGGAAACUUCUAAGAUCCAUGCUGUUGUUGAGUUUUAAACAUUUUAUACAACAUUUUAGUGGGUACAAGCUAUUUUCCAGGCUUAUAGUAAUUUCUGAUACAUCUCUUGCUGGCUGAGAAAGGUGAUCAAGUGUAUAAAUUCCAUAACAUAUCAAAUCUCUAUUCACUCAUAUAUUCCCAUGCACACAUGCCUCGAAGCCGGAAGAUUUGGAUUAGAGCCUGUGCUGGUGCUGCUGCUUAUUUGCCCUGUCAUCUUGGGCAGGUUAUUUUAGGUCGUAGGUUCUUAGUUACUUCCUUUGUGAAAUGUGAAGAUCAAAUCUGCUUUGAUUAAUUUAGCAUGCUCUAGCCUAGCAAAAUUCUUAAUGAUAAAAAGUAAUUAUUAUUAGUAGUAAGUUUUUGGCAUGGAAUAUGACAGUACAUGUAAAAAUACUCUGAAGACUUUAAAACACUAUGUUUAGUUAGCUACUACUGAAUAAUUAUUUCAAAUAAUGUUAACAUAAACAUAUGCUAAGCAUGUACUCAAAUAGAAUGUUUGCCUAUAUAACAUUUUAAAGGUAAGUUUUAAAGUAUCAAGUGAAAAUAUUUUUGAUUUGUAUGUAUAUAUAAAUGUAUGUGUAUAUAUACAUUCUUAAUAUGGUAUAGCAUGUGACUAUCACAAUUCCUAAUCUAGAUAUUUUACUCUGUGAUCUUGGGCAAGGUAUUUUCCUUUGCUCACCUAAAUAGGUUUUUUAAAACUUUUUACUUUAUCUAUUAAAUGUAAAGUAAAACAAUCUGUAUCAGAGAUUUGUGGGCAGAAUUAAAGGAAGCCAGAGUACUUGGAUCUUCAGGCCGGGCGCUGUGGUUCACGCCUGUAAUCCCAGCACUUUGGGAGGCUGAGGUGGGCAGAUCACGAGGUCAGGAGAUCGAGACCAUCCUGGCUAACACGGUGAAGCCCUGUCUCUACUAAAAACACAAAAAAUUAGCCGGGUGUGUUGGCGGGUGCCUGUAGUCCCAGCUACUAGGGAGGCUGAGGCAGGAGAAUGGCAUGAACCUGGGAGGUGGAGCUUGCAGUGAGCCGAGAUCGCACCACUGCACUCCAGCCUGGCCGACAGAGCGAGACUCCAUCAC